GGUUUCCAUUACAUGGGAGCAAGAAUCCUGGACAGUGCCCUUGUUCAGGGGCUUGAGACAUUGACUACAAAGCAUUUGGGGAACACAGAUGACUGCUUGUCUAGUGACCCCUCAAUCAUCAAGGAAGUUUCCCAGGGGAGAAUUUUGGACGAAGCCACAUAUAAAGAGGAUCAAGGCCGAUGGAGCAGCCACCAUCCAGAACAUUGUCAGAGGCAGACAGGAAAAGAGAAUGUGGAAAGCAUAGGCCGACUUUUAAAGCUUCUACCAGUCACUUCUUUUUGUUGUUUUGGUAAAGAAGACUGGCCCUGAGCUAACAUCUGUUGCCAAUCUUCUUCUUCUUUUUUUUUUGCUUGAGGAAGAUUGUCCCUGAGCUAACAUCUGUGCCAGUCUUUCGCUACUUUGUAGGAGGGACACUGCCACAAUAUGGCUUGAUGAGCAGUGUGUGGGUCUGCGCCCAGGAUCCGAAACUGCAAACCCUGGGCUGCCAAAGUGGAGUGUGUGAACUUAACCACUACACCACAGGUCUGGCCCCUUACCAGUCACUUCUGAUCACAUUUUAUGGUCAAAAGACGACAUGGCCCCACUUCAAGUGUGUGGUCAAGUGCUGUUCUACCAAGUGGCCAGAAGGAGAGAGCUAGAAUAAUUAUGAACAAAUCUAAUGACACAAAGGGAUGAUUUACAUAAAAGUCAGGAUACUUUUGAGAAGCUAGAAGGCAAAUGCAAUUUGGGAGGGACGUAGGAGGGCUCCUGAGGUACAUUAGUGCUCUUUUUCUUGGCAUGGUUGGUGAGUUUACAGGCUUGAGUAGUCUUUAAAUUGUACAUAUAUGUUUUCCUAUAUUCCUUAUUUAUAUUUCAUAAUAAAAGAUAAAAUAAAAUAUAAAAAAGAACCCUUUAAAACAUACAGGUCAUAUAUAUGGUCAUUUAGUUAUAGAAAAUGUUUGGAAGGAUUUAAGAGACAUUGUUAACUCUCUUAGGGAGAGGAAGGAGAGAUUGGGAGAGAUGAAAUGGAAAAUUUUACAUUUCAUUUUCUGCCUUUGGGUUUAAAUUUCUUUCUUAUAGUGUACAUGAUUUGCUUUUAUAAUGAAAGAUUAAUUUUUUAGAAAAGCAUAAAAAUCAAGAAACAAAAUAAAAAAAUGUGACUGGCCUCAGUGUGAGAUGUGUGUGUGCUCCCCAACUUUAG
rnacentral:lncRNA from 1 species